AUGCAUGUGUAAGUGAAACUGGAUAGUGAACCGCGAAGUGCUCAGUAAAUCAGUUACAAUCUACUUGCAAUGUAUCUGCGAUUGCGAAUUUGAAUAACUGCGGGAAAUCUGCAGCUAAUGCAUGCCUAAAUGAAGCUUUGCAGUCUGGUAAAGCAGUUCGCUGUGUAAUGGGCUGGAUCUUGUCUUUUACUGAUUCGUGGUCGAUCCAGAUGAGGCUAUUGGAGCCUUCGCGCAAGUUGAGAUUUUGUAACUGAAUAAUCCCAGAAACCUUCGGGUGGGGGAUAUUGCUUUCGAGUGACUGAGCUAUCAACCGUGAUGGUAGGGUAACGGCCUACCAUGGUUGUGACGGCUAACGGGGAAUCAGGGUUCGAUUCCGGAGAGGCAGCCUGAGAAACGGCUACCACAUCCAAGGAAGGCAGCAGGCACGCAAAUUACCCACUCCCGGUUCGGGGAGGUAGUGAAGAGAAAUAACACUAUGAACCUUAUGGUUUGUAAGUGGAAUGGUCUGGAUAUAUAUAUUCCAGAGAUUAACGAGUGGAGGGCAAGUCUGGUGCCAGCAGCCGCGGUAAUACCAGCCUCCACAAGCGUAUGCAAUAGUUGCUGCGUUUAAAAAGCUCGUAGUUGGAUCCAGUGCGCGGUAGUUAGGGUACAUGUGGUAUCUGUAUAAUGCUUAUACCAUCCUAACAGUGCAUUUGCAUCUAAAGCCCAAGGCGAUUCACUUAAUUGUGUUAGCCGGAAAGCUGAGAUGCCUUACUCUGAAUAAAUUAGAGUGCUCAAAGCGUCCUUUGGGAUUGAAUAAUAAAGCAUGGAAUAAUGGAAAUUGGCCAAUAGUCUUCUAUUUGGACCAGCGAAGUGCGGUAAUGAUUGAAAGGAACAGGCGGGGGCAUUUGUAUUGCUAGGGGAGGGGUGAAAUCCGUAGAUCCUAGCAAGACAAACUACUGCGAAAGCAUUUGCCAAGAAUGUUUUCAUUAAUCAAGAGCGAAAGUCAGAGUAUUGAAGAGGAUUAGAUACCCUCGUAAUUCUGACCAUAAACUAUACCAUCUUACGACCUGCCGAUGUCCUAUAAUGACUAGGCAGGGAGUUACCCGGGAAACCAAAGUAUUUGGGUUACGGGGGAAGUAUGGUUGCAAAAUUGAAACUUAAAGGAAUUGACGGAAGGGCACCACCAGGAGUGGAGCCUGCGGCUUAAUUUGACUCAACACGGGAAAACUCACCAGGUCCAGACAUUCUGAGGAUUGACAGUAUGAAUCCCUCUCAAGAUAGAAUGGGCGGUGGUGCAUGGCCGUUCUUAGUUAGUGGACUGAUUUGUCUGGUUAAUUCCGAUAACGAACGAGGCCUUACCCUUUUAGUAGUGAUAGUCACUUCGGUGAUGAUUUGCUUCUUAAAGGUACAAAGCAGGAUAUAAUACUGCUAGUGAGAGGGAUUAAAACAGGUCUGUGAUGCCCUUAGAUGUCCUGGACCGCACGCGCGCUACAAUAGUAGUUGCAAAGUGCUUAACAGCCCUGAACCGAGAUGGUUUGGGUAAUCAUUAAACAUGGUCUUCUAGUGGGGAUCAACUAUUGUAAUGAUAGUUGUGAACUCGGAAUUCCUAGUACGUGGGAGUCAACAACUCCUACGGAUUACGUCCCUGCCCUUUGUACACACCGCCCGUCGCUACUACUGAUUGGUGCGUUAAGCAAGAUGCUUGGAAUCAAUCAUUUCGGGUCUUAUGAUUCGGCUUGUUUGGUGAAGAGCUUCUAGCUUAGCAUACUA
rnacentral:rRNA from 1 species